UGUGCAGAGGGCUAUGAGGCCAUUUUCCUCC
rnacentral:piRNA from 1 species